GCACGUUAUGGUGGGCACUCUAAGGAGACUGCCGGUGACAAACCGGAGGAAGGUGGGGAUGACGUCAAGUCAUCAUGGCCCUUACGGCCUGGGCUACACACGUGCUACAAUGGUCGGUACAGAGGGUUGCCAAGCCGCGAGGUGGAGCUAAUCCCACAAAACCGAUCGUAGUCCGGAUCGCAGUCUGCAACUCGACUGCGUGAAGUCGGAAUCGCUAGUAAUCGCGAAUCAGAAUGUCGCGGUGAAUACGUUCCCGGGCCUUGUACACACCGCCCGUCACACCAUGGGAGUGGGUUGCACCAGAAGUAGCUA
rnacentral:rRNA from 1 species